rnacentral:rRNA from 1 species
UUAAAUUGAAGAGUUUGAUCAUGGCUCAGAUUGAACGCUGGCGGCAGGCCUAACACAUGCAAGUCGAACGGUAACAGGAAUCAGCUUGCUGAUUCGCUGACGAGUGGCGGACGGGUGAGUAAUG